rnacentral:misc_RNA from 1 species
AAGUCGUAACAAGGUUUCCGUAGGUGAACCUGCGGAAGGAUCAUUACCGAGUUUUCGGGCUUCGGCUCGACUCUCCCCACCCUUUGUGAACGUACCUCUGUUGCUUUGGCGGCUCCGGCCGCCAAAGGACCUCCAAACUCCAGUCAGUAAACGCAGACGUCUGAUAAACAAGUUAAUAAACUAAAACUUUCAACAACGGAUCUCUUGGUUCUG